AUACGGAGGGUGCAAGCGUUAAUCGGAAUUACUGGGCGUAAAGCGUGCGCAGGCGGUUUUGUAAGACAGGCGUGAAAUCCCCGGGCUCAACCUGGGAAUGGCGCUUGUGACUGCAAGGCUAGAGUGCGUCAGAGGGGGGUAGAAUUCCACGUGUAGCAGUGAAAUGCGUAGAGAUGUGGAGGAAUACCGAUGGCGAAGGCAGCCCCCUGGGGCGAGUCUGACGCUCAUGCACGAAAGCGUGGGGAGCAAACAGGAUUAGAAACCCCAGUAGUCC
rnacentral:rRNA from 1 species